AAGUCGUAACAAGGUUUCCGUAGGUGAACCUGCGGAAGGAUCAUUAACACGUAUCCAACGUUAAACCCCCCUGUGAACCUUUAGUGUGCUCCCUCAUUCUGUUGGAACGUGGCAAUCCCUGGUAAAUCAUCGCCGAACAGUUUUGAUUCAGGGACUUCUGCAAACACUGGCUCUGUAAGAAUGGCGCAGUCACGAUCGCUAGAGGCCGACACGGCCGGCGACCGGGUCACCGGGCUCACGCCCCCCUAUCACCCCUUUGCAUGAAAACGGGCCUGCGCUUAAUUGUGCGGCCAUAAACCGAACAACUGUUAACAAUGGAUAUCUUGGUUCUC
rnacentral:misc_RNA from 1 species